UAUUAAAUAAAUUAUACUCUGCCACUCAAAUUUAUUACGACGAAACCACGCUAACCUGAAAGUGGGGCUAAACCGCUCCAGAACAACUGAAAUGAUACCCACUGUAUGUUUUGAGCAGAUCUGUAAAUGCGUCUGAAGAAAUAAAAUUAACAUCCUGGAGCAACGUGAUCAGCAAAAUUUGAGCUUUUACUAACCGUAAAUACAAAUUGUAAUUUAACGAUUUCUAUUGUCGCCGCAUAACUGCAUAUAAACGACAGCAAAACGUUUCACAGUCGUUAAAUCAAAAAUAGUGCUCUUUUUCUGCAUAAAGAAAGGCAAAGAAAAUCCUUGAAAAUCCUCUAUUUGCUAAUUUAGUUUUGCAAAUAUCAAAAUGCCACGGCCUACCUAAAAUCUCGCGGCAUAAAUCAGCCGUGCCGACAGCGAUAGAUUUAACAUGUAUUGAUGUUCGCUCCAACUGAUGACGUCUCCCAAUCCUUAAAAAAAUACUGAAUCAGCCUGGCAAAAUUCCUCAAUUUUCCAAAGUCAGCUGCCAUGUCUUUUCUUGUAAACAAGUAGUGCUGAGUCAUCUGCAAAGGAGUUAUCCGCUGACAAUUUUUAGCGAGAUUGCUUUGCGAGUUGUCAGAACCGUUCAUCAGGUGUUUUUUCUUGUAAAGGCAGCUUCCACUUUACCCUCUGGGUUAACAUAACAAAGGAAAAGGACCUAAAAUUGAAGUAACAGAAGGGGUUGAAAAGAUCAGUGUGUCUUUCGUCACUGUGAAUUUUGUCGCCGAUUGUAGGUUCUGUCUAUGAAGUGGCUGCAAUAAACCAAAACCAAAGAAAAGCGAAGCGAUUCGUCUUCAAAAUGGCGGCGGUGACUGUUCCUCUAGUCUUAGCCAUAGCGGCGCGGCCAUCUUGGGUCGAAUACUACAUGGAUCUGGCAUUCUGUGUCUCCAUGAGGUCGAAAGACCCGAAACUGAUGGUGGGAUGCGUUAUUGUACACCCAGAAUCACUGAGGAUUUUGAGUAUGGGAUACAAUGGUUUUCCACCCGGAACCGAAAAUACGGAAGAGAACUGGGGAUUAGAAAGCAAAGAAAAGGCUCAUCUAGUUGUCCACGCAGAAGCCAAUGCUGUGAUCCUCGCAGGCCAAGCUGAUCUGGAAGGCUCUAUUGCCUUUGUUACAAUGUUUCCCUGUCUAGAAUGCGCAAAAAUGCUAAUAGCGAAGGGGAUCCGCAAGGUGUAUUAUCUUUCAAUGAAAGAAAAGUACCAAGAGAAGUCAUUUCCCCUUUUCAAAGCAGCCGAAGUCGAGGUCGUGUAAGUAACAACUCUGGUUAGACCGAGAUUAACUCUGCCUUACAAUUUGCACAUAUUUGUGGCAAGAACAUUCUCAAAUAAACAUCAUAAUGGUGCACUGUUUCGAAUAGACAAAAAGAAACGAAAUAUAAGGACUACUAAUUCCAAAGAUCUGUGAACUUAGUUCUCUAGUUCGAAACAACAUCCCAAGCAACUGUAUUUGAAAAAUAAUAAUGCGUGAAUAAACGAAAAUUUAGCAAUGAAAAUUAUACCAAGUGCUCUCCUUGUCGACUUUUUCCUUAUCGAUAUGGAAUUUGUAAGAUUAGCUUUUGUGAAGGGACGAAAACCAGAGGAGCCGUAGAAAAUCCUUCGGAGGAAGGACAAAAACUAACGAAAAACUUAACCUACAUGUGACGCCAGGUUGGGAAUCGAACCCAACGGGAGGUGAGUGCUCUUGCCACUGCAACAUCCCUGCUCGUAGCCAGAGUGUAUGUAAGGGAGAAAAUGGUUUUUCCUUGAUUUCAUUAAUUGUCUCUGCAGCUUAUUUCCUAUAUUUUCCUUUACCUUUUCGUUAAUUAACAGUCAGAUCUUAUUGCACCACUUUAGGCGUCUGAAGCGAGGAAGCCCACUGGAAGAAUUUGAAAAAAACUUAAUGGACAAGGUCGAUAUCUUACUGAACCAAGGAAAAGAAAAACCGGUUGAAUCCAAUGAAACAUAUAAAGAACUUCUCGAAAAAAACAAACAUAAGAGGGAAGAUGAUCUAGAAAGUCAAUGGCCAAGAAAGUUUAUAAAGGAUGAGAUCUUAAAGGACAAGUGGAAGGACUAUUUUCUGUUCUUGGCCCUCAUUGCAAGCACAAGAGCUUUGAAAAGCGACAAGGAGUACUAUCAAGGAGCAAUACUGAUAGAUUCUAAAACUUUAAAGGCCAAUGGAUUUGCCUAAUUCGAACAACAUAAAAGAGGCCAUAAGUAAGACCAUUGAAAAGCUCAAGAACGCAGAAAGCGAGAACGAGCGUCACUUCAGUGAUUGGCCAAGUUACACCUGGACCGAUUACGAAUUACAGCCAAAGAAGCCAACGAGUCUCUAAUCAGUUGUCCUACAUCAUAUUUUGCCUAUCAAGAGAAUAUUUGGCGCAAAAUAUUUAUUGAGUUCCCGAAAAAAAAACUGAAUGUCUCUCUUUAUUCAAAAUGAAGCAGUAAAACCGUUUUAGAUUGUUUUAGCAUAUAAGGGAUAGUAGGUCUUUCAAAAGAUCGACACAUUUUAUCGCGAAUUUUGCAACAAGUAUUACAGAAAUUAUAGGAAUGAAAGAAAAUAGUACUUCGAAUUGUUAAAAACAGAUGUUAAGUUUUAAUAAUUAUAAUCUAUCUAAUUAUGUGGGCAAUUUGGAAAGUCAUUAUUUAUCAAAAUCAAAUGCUAUUAAACGUGGCUGUAACAAACAUAA
rnacentral:misc_RNA from 1 species